rnacentral:tRNA from 1 species
GCUCCAUUAGCUCAGCAGGUAGAGCUUCGUGCUUAUGUUAUCCACAUACAAUAGCCACGCGGAUGUCGCCAGUUCGAUCCUGGCAUGGAGCA